CAGAUAGCAAUGUGCAUAGAACCUUUUCUGAUGUGGAAGCUUUACAGGAAAUUAGAAGUAUGUCAUCUAAUAUACAGCCAAUACCUCAUCAACCUUACCAUUCUUCUGAAGAUGAAUUUGAACCGCAACGAGCUACAAGUUUACCACUAUUGUUUUCAGAUGUGAUACCUUUUGAGGAAGAAACAGAUAUGGCA